UACGUAGGGGGCAAGCGUUGUCCGGAAUUAUUGGGCGUAAAGAGCGCGUAGGCGGUCCGAUAAGUCGGCUGUGAAAGUCAGGGGCUCAACCCUUGGAAGCCGGCCGAUACUGUCGGACUAGAGUCCGGAAGAGGCGAGUGGAAUUCCCGGUGUAGCGGUGAAAUGCGCAGAUAUCGGGAGGAACACCAAUGGCGAAGGCAGCUCGCUGGGACGGUACUGACGCUGAGGCGCGAAGGCGUGGGGAGCAAACAGG
rnacentral:rRNA from 1 species